GCCCCUAUAGCUCAGGCGGAUAGAGCAGUGGUUUCCUAAACCAUGUGUCCGAGGUUCGAGUCCUCGUAGGGGCA
rnacentral:tRNA from 1 species